rnacentral:rRNA from 1 species
GAUGAACGCUGGCGGCGUGCCUAAUACAUGCAAGUCGAGCGAACGGACGAGAAGCUUGCUUUUCUGAUGUUAGCGGCGGACGGGUGAGUAACACGUGGAUAACCUACCUAUAAGACUGGGAUAACUUCGGGAAACCGGAGCUAAUACCGGAUAAUAUUUUGAACCGCAUGGCUCAAAAGUGAAAGACGGUCUUGCUGUCACUUAUAGAUGGAUCCGCGCUGCAUUAGCUAGUUGGUAAGGUAACGGCUUACCAAGGCAACGAUGCAUAGCCGACCUGAGAGGGUGAUCGGCCACACUGGAACUGAGACACGGUCCAGACUCCUACGGGAGGCAGCAGUAGGGAAUCUUCCGCAAUGGGCGAAAGCCUGACGGAGCAACGCCGCGUGAGUGAUGAAGGUCUUCGGAUCGUAAAACUCUGUUAUUAGGGAAGAACAUAUGUGUAAGUAACUGUGCACAUCUUGACGGUACCUAAUCAGAAAGCCACGGCUAACUACGUG